CUCCGCAGCCCCGGGGCCGCAGGCUCACGCGCUUCGUUUUUGUGCGGCCCCGCGCGUCUGUCCUGAGCUUCCCUGGAAGUCCAAGCGCGCCAUUGGCCUUGGGCCCCUCGUGCCACUGCGGGCCAGGGACUGCAGGCACCUUGCAGCGUCAACGUCUUAGGGACAGCACGUGCCACGCCAGGGGCCCUUCCCUUCGAGGCCCCAUAUGCUACCGUCCACGUGGCCCAGCUGCCCCGCACCCCGGCCGACGCGGGACACGGGGGUCCCCGGCUCGGCCCAGGCAGGCAGCCCGCUGGGAGCGACGCCUCGCCUUCGAAUUGGCCCAUCUGGACCUUUGAGCCGCUCUGUGGAAGGGCUGUCCCCGGGAGCUGUGUCUAUCAGGACGCUGUGUACCUGUGUCCGAUGUUGGGGUGACCUGUGGACAGAGGACCCACAGCAUGGAUGGGGACCUUGGGCCACAGCAACGCCAGAUCUCAGGC